rnacentral:snRNA from 1 species
ACACUACAUAUUUAUUGAAAAUGCUGCUAUAACACUGUGACACCCGCAAUCCAACUUAUCUGAGUUUCUAUUUUAGCUAAUUUUUGCAGGCGCUGUGUGUAAAUAGUUUUUCGCAGUGCCA